AUACGGAGGGGACUAGCGUUGUUCGGAAUUACUGGGCGUAAAGAGUUCGUAGGCGGACUGAUAAGUAAGAGUUGAAAUCCCAGGGCUCAACCCUGGAACUGCCUUUUAAACUGUCAGUCUAGAGACCGGAAGAGGUUAGGGGAAUACCUAGUGUAGAGGUGAAAUUCGUAGAUAUUAGGUGGAACACCAGUGGCGAAGGCGCCUAACUGGUCCGGUACUGACGCUGAGGAACGAAAGCGUGGGGAGCAAACAGGAUUAGAUACCCUAGUAGUCC
rnacentral:rRNA from 1 species